rnacentral:rRNA from 1 species
CUAACACAUGCAAGUCGAACGGUAACAUUUCUAGCUUGCUAGAAGAUGACGAGUGGCGGACGGGUGAGUAAUGCUUGGGAACUUGCCUUUGCGAGGGGGAUAACAGUUGGAAACGACUGCUAAUACCGCAUAAUGUCUUCGGACCAAACGGGGCUUCGGCUCCGGCGCAAAGAGAGGCCCAAGUGAGAUUAGCUAGUUGGUAAGGUAACGGCUUACCAAGGCGACGAUCUCUAGCUGUUCUGAGAGGAAGAUCAGCCACACUGGGACUGAGACACGGCCCAGACUCCUACGGGAGGCAGCAGUGGGGAAUAUUGCACAAUGGGGGAAACCCUGAUGCAGCCAUGCCGCGUGUGUGAAGAAGGCCUUCGGGUUGUAAAGCACUUUCAGUUGUGAGGAAAAGUUAGUAGUUAAUACCUGCUAGCCGUGACGUUAACAACAGAAGAAGCACCGGCUAACUCCGUGCCAGCAGCCGCGGUAAUACGGAGGGUGCGAGCGUUAAUCGGAAUUACUGGGCGUAAAGCGCACGCAGGCGGUUUGUUAAGCUAGAUGUGAAAGCCCCGGGCUCAACCUGGGAUGGUCAUUUAGAACUGGCAGACUAGAGUCUUGGAGAGGGGAGUGGAAUUCCAGGUGUAGCGGUGAAAUGCGUAGAUAUCUGGAGGAACAUCAGUGGCGAAGGCGACUCCCUGGCCAAAGACUGACGCUCAUGUGCGAAAGUGUGGGUAGCGAACAGGAUUAGAUACCCUGGUAGUCCACACCGUAAACGCUGUCUACUAGCUGUGUGUGUCUUUAAGACGUGCGUAGCGAAGCUAACGCGCUAAGUAGACCGUCUGGGGAGUACGGCCGCAAGGUUAAAACUCAAAUGAAUUGACGGGGGCCCGCACAAGCGGUGAGCAUGUGUUUAAUUCGAUGCAACGCGAAGAACCUUACCAGGCCUUGACAUCCUGAGAACUUUCUAGAGAUAGAUCGGUGCCUUCGGGACUCAGUGACAGUGUGCAUGCUGUCGUCAGCUCGUGUCGUGAGAUGUUGGGUUAGUCCGUACGAGCGCAUCUUAUCUUACUUGCAGCACUUCGUGACUUUAGGAACUGCGGUGACAAUCGGAGGAAGGAAGAUGAUGUCAAGUCAUCAUGGCCUUACGC